AUGGACUCUCACUUUGGAAACCAUAAAACCGUGUUUGUUUUAUGUCCCUUAGCAAACAGCUCCCUGCGCCGGGCGGAGACAGGCUGGGCGCCGGGAGCCGGAGCCCAGGGCGGCAGCGCGUUGUGUAACCCGCCUGGGAAUCACGUUGCACGGGCGAGAUCCGCAGGCUUUCAGUGCGAUAAUAAGCUUGAUCUUUUUAUUCAAAUACAAGGAACAACCACAGCCGGCUCCAAGUCACGUGGCCGGGUCACAUGGUGCCGAGACACAGAAACCGGCUGGCAGUCAUUAACUAAUGCUUACUCCCAGGGAGAAAACGCAGGUUUUAAAGACACGAGCUCUGUUUUUGUAAACCACGCAGCACUGCAAGAGAAGCUAGGACCUAUACCCCGCCUCGUAGAACGGAUCGCGUGUGUCCCCCUUGUAAAGGUCAAGGAGUUCGCGCUUUCUUUGCAGUCUUCCAGCACAAGAGGUCAGAUCAGAGGAGCGACCAGAAGAGGAACGUCUUCCUUCCCUCCUGGUCCGUGUGAAGGUGUUCCAAGACCCCUGGCUCUCUCUCCAGCUCCUUCCCUCCCCAGCGCUCCUCGGCAGAGACUGGCACCCCCGUGUGGUACCUCGAACCGGUUUGAGACCGACUCCAUUCCUGGAAGGAAGAUCUGAUAUCCUUCCCCUAAUGAGUUGCAAAGCGUUUUGGAGCCAAUCCUCUCUCCCCGGAGCUUGCAGACCUUCCGGUGGUUUCCAGUGGACCCUGUGGGCCGUAGAUGCAAACAGCCAAGGUGCCUGUUCCCUGCCACUAGCUCAGGUCAAGGUGUCACUUAGACGGCUUCUCAGGCUGGCUCGGUUCUCCCGCCUCCGAGCCCAGAGGUGCGGGUUGGGGACACAGGACGGGUGUGAUCAGAGUUCAGGCGAGACUUUCUCCCAUCUUAAGGUACAGCCUCUUCCUUUAAAGCCACGCUUCAGUGCCACCCACAGCCUUUGCCGACCAUGACAUAAGCCAACUGUUUUAAAAUUUUGGCAAUGCUCAUGGCGUCGGAAGCCAAGCCUUAAACAGAGAGGCAUCAUGACACAGCAGAAGGAGCAUGGGAUUUGGAGACAGAAGGCCUCCAAAACUGACUCUUUCCUCCCUCUUGACUCCUUGUGUGACCCUGGACACAUUUCUUAACCUUUUCUUGCCUCAGCGCCUUCACCUGUGAAAAGAGAAAACUCUGCACCGGAGGCUUGUGAGGAUUUAGUAUUAAGUGCUUGGUACAUGGUGUCCAACGGCAGCCGUUAGUAACAUUUAUAGUGGGGAGCACGGAGGAGGGUGACAGGCCCAUGGCUCAUUUGCCUGUACUUCUAAACACGUCUACCGUCUCCGUAAAUGUAUGGUCUUAGUGGGACAGAGACUGUAUUUAGAAAUUCUAUUCGUUUGCCCUUUCACAUCCAGUCUAGAAUAAGGCAAGGUAUAAACAUUAUUUUUUAUGUCGCACACUCACUGAGUAAAGCGAGCUCUUCCCCUGUUCGGUGCUGGAGAGAGAUCUGAGCAGAUCUGAGAGAGACAGCGGCUGACCUCACGGACCUCACGGUCAAGGCGGCGAGGCCAUCGCGCACCUCUGAUCACAGGCAGUGAGAUGGGUUCAGUUGCAGGGAUGCGCCGCGCGGUGCUAAGGGCCCGGGGGGG
rnacentral:lncRNA from 1 species